CCUACGGGAGGCAGCAGUGGGGAAUCUUGGGCAAUGGGCGAAAGCCUGACCCAGCGACGCCGCGUUGGGGAUGAAACCCUUUGGGGUGUAAACCCAUGUUGUAGGGGACGAAGAAAGUGACGGUACCCUACGAGGAAGCCCCGGCUAACUACGUGCCAGCAGCCGCGGUAAGACGUAGGGGGCAAGCGUUGUCCGGAAUUACUGGGCGUAAAGGGCACGCAGGCGGUGCGCCAAGUCGAGGGUGUAAAGUUACGGCUCAACCGUGACAUUGCAAUCGAUACUGGCGUGCUGGAGUGCGGGAGAGGGAAGUGGAAUUCCCGGUGUAGCGGUGAAAUGCGUAGAUAUCGGGAGGAACGCCAGUGGCGAACGCGGCUUCCUGGCCCGCGACUGACGCUCAUGUGCGAAAGCCAGGGGAGCGAACC
rnacentral:rRNA from 1 species